GACGAACGCUGGCGGCGUGCUUAACACAUGCGAGUCGAACGGAAAGGCCCCUUUGGGGGUACUCGAGUGGCGAACGGGUGAGUAACACGUGAGUAACCUGCCCUUGACUUCGGGAUAACUUCAGGAAACUGGGGCUAAUACCGGAUAGGAAUCCUUGCUGCAUGGUGGGGGUUGGAAAGCUUCGGCGGUUUUGGAUGGACUCGCGGCUUAUCAGCUUGUUGGUGGGGUAGUGGCUUACCAAGGCUUUGACGGGUAGCCGGCCUGAGAGGGCGACCGGCCACAUUGGGACUGAGAUACGGCCCAGACUCCUACGGGAGGCAGCAGGGGGGAAUAUUGCACAAUGGGCGGAAGCCGGAUGCAGCAACGCCGCGUGCGGGAUGACGGCCUUCGGGUUGUAAACCGCUUUCAGCAGGGGCGAAGCUUGUGGUGACGGUACCUGCAGAAGAAGCACCGGCUAACUACGUG
rnacentral:rRNA from 1 species